AACAUUUUUAUCUCGAACUAUUUCGAAUUCUUCCAUCUCGCUCUGGCUCAUUUAACGUAUUUUACUUUGACAUUUCGAAUGUUUUUUUUUCCGAAGCGAAGCAAUGUUCGGGAGCAUCGCGACAAGUCUCGUCCGUCUCGUCGCGCCGUGAAAAUUCAAAAAAAUUACUACUGAGUUUCAUCCGGAUUCCCAAAAUCCGUUUUAUUGGGCAAACGAUGAUUAGAUCCGAGAAACAUUGCGACUUUCGUGGAAUACGUGAAGGGGCGAACGGAAAAGCGCACCUGAUCAAAUGCGACGGAGGGUUCUACGUGAAGUACAACUGGUCGGAGAUCAUCUCGAAGGAACUGAUUCUGAUGUGCUUCGUAUUGCUGCCAUUUGCGGUGUUCCGUCCGUGCGGGAAUGCCAUACAGCGCCCUCAGUGUUGAAUUGAUAACGAUAUACUGACCAAAUCCUAUGGCAAUGUUCCAUCUAGGUGAAUUUUCUAUGAUCUGGAGAAAGUUCCCUGCACGCAAAGAGAAAAUUACCAGCUGGUGCUGUCACCGUAGACAGUGGAGGAAAUUUCCGCAAAGGAUAUAUAUUAUUGACGAAGAAGACCGUACCUUGCAAGUAGGAUCUAAAUCGAAGGAAUCAAGCGUUAUGGACGUCAACAUGAACGAUGUAUUUUUGCCGCUAAAAUUCAAUGCUCAGAGUAUCAUCGAAAUUCCGGUUGAACCGGUCAAUCUUUCGGAGCUGCCAAAAAUGUUGGAUGGGUGAGGCGGCGAGCACGUCAUUCUUGGAACUAGCGAACUAUAUCUGGAUUGCAGCAUGCAUGAUCUGCGAAAAAUGUACUCUGAAAUCUACAUCAAAGUAGUAGAUCCAGUGGUGGCAUUUUGCAAAAGUGUAGUCAAGAUAAGUUCCUUGCCGAAACGCCAAAUAUAAUUAUGAUUGCUGGACAAAAGUAGCUUUAUACGAUUACUAGAACCUAGAUAGCCACGCCGAGGAAAGAGUCUUUCUGAGGACGUUUCGAUCAUCAAAUUCUUCGACCAUCUUAUGUUGCUAGCGCUGGCUCGCCCCGAUGUCCUGCUCAACAAUCCGAUCUAAGAAAGUAUUCGUAAACUCGCCCAGUGGACACAUUCGUCGGCUCCGUCGGAGGCCCAGUGACCUCAUAUAUACGUGGCUUCUCUGCAACAAUGAAUCAAUGUAACUGCUCGUAAAGCAAAACCUAGCCGUCAUCGCUAGAUGGCUAUACCCUCAAUGAUGAGUCUCUAAGGGAAAAAUCAACAACGGCCUCGAAGCCCUCCUUGGGGAAAACGAGAGUGGACUAAGGCUACUAUAGUAGCUAUAGCGAUGGAAAAAGAAUAUAUGGAGAAAUCCUGCAGGACAACUGGUUAUUCAGUAAUUGCUGAAACUGAAGACAACAACCAU